rnacentral:rRNA from 1 species
CCUGCCAGUAGUUAUAUGCUUGUCUCAAAGAUUAAGCCAUGCAUGUCUCAGUGCAAGCCGUAUUAAGGCGAUACCGCGAAUGGCUCAAUAUAUCAGUUUUGGUUCCUUAGAUCUUACUCAGUUACUUGGAUAACUGUGGUAAUUCUAGAGCUAAUACAUGCAAUCAGAACUCUGACCAGUGAUGGGAUGAGUGCUUUUAUUAGAUCAAAACCAAUCGACGGAGGGCCUCGCGUCCGAAGUCGUUAAUUUUGAUGAAUCUGGAUAACUUUUGCCGAUCGCAUGGUCCAGUACCGGCGACGCAUCUUUCAAAUGUCUGCCUUAUCAACUUUCGAUGGUAGUUUCUGCGACUACCAUGGUUGUCACGGGUAACGGGGAAUCAGGGUUCGAUUCCGGAGAGGGAGCCUGAGAAACGGCUACCACAUCCAAGGAAGGCAGCAGGCGCGCAAAUUACCCACUCCCGGCACGGGGAGGUAGUGACGAAAAAUAACGAUACGGGACUCUUACGAGGCCUCGUAAUCGGAAUGAGUACACUUUAAAUAUUUUAACGAGGAACAAUUGGAGGGCAAGUCUGGUGCCAGCAGCCGCGGUAAUUCCAGCUCCAAUAGCGUAUACUAAAAUUGUUGCGGUUAAAAAGCUCGUAGUUGCAUUUGUGCGCCGCGCUGUCGGUGCACCGCAUCCGCGGUGAUACUGACACGUCUGCGGAGCAUAUCGUCGGUGAGCCGGCGGUAAUACGCCGGUUCAAUAUCAAAAUCCUAUCGCGGUGCUCUUCGGUGAGUGUCGAGGUGGGCCGACAAUUUUACUUUGAACAAAUUAGAGUGCUCAAAGCGGGCUCAAAAUGCUGCUUGAAUAUUUCGUGCAUGGAAUAAUAGAAUAUGAUCUCGGUUCUAUUUUGUUGGUUUUCAGAACUCCGAGGUAAUGAUUAAUAGGGAUAACUGGGGGCAUUCGUAUUGCGACGUUAGAGGUGAAAUUCUUGGAUCGUCGCAAGACGAACAUCAGCGAAAGCAUUUGCCAAAGGUGUUUUCAUCAAUCAAGAACGAAAGUUAGAGGUUCGAAGGCGAUUAGAUACCGCCCUAGUUCUAACCGUAAAUAUGUCAUCUAGCGAUCCGCCGACGUUACUACAAUGGCUCGGCGGGCAGCUUCCGGGAAACCAAAGAUUUUGGACUCCGGGGGGAGUAUGGUUGCAAAGCUGAAACUUAAAGGAAUUGACGGAAGGGCACCACCAGGAGUGGAGCCUGCGGCUUAAUUUGACCCAACACGGGAAAUCUCACCAGGCCCGGACACCGGAAGGAUUGACAGAUUAACAGCUCUUUCUUGAUUCGGUGGGUGGUGGUGCAUGGCCGUUCUUAGUUG